rnacentral:miRNA from 1 species
GCAAAAAUUGACCCCCCUUCCUCUAGGUUUGUACGUGUGUGUGUGUGUGUGUAUAUAUAUAUAUACACACACACACGUACAAACCUAGAGGAAGGGGGGUCAAU